AUGAAGGGUAACUUAUUCUGCAGGUGCCUGAAACACAGAGAUAGACGCAACGUGGAGCAACGAUAAAUUUUAAAGGAAGGAAUACAAGUCAAACUCAGUUGAGGGAUCUUAAAAUAAUCCUUAAGGCAAAUUUUUAAUGCACUCUUCAACUUCCUCGGCCGGAAGUGGUAGCGAUUCUGUAAGAGCAAGUAUGAAAUUACCCUUUCUUAUUUUUUCUUAUUUUUUCCCCUAUUUUUUUUUAUUUGAAAAUAACGCGCUAAAGUAACGUAGCUUGUAAAAGGAAAACCCUGUUCUUCUCUGAGAGAAGCGUUUCUCAGGAUGUUCGACUAGAACGCGAUAAAGAUCAAGACUGACUUUAA